AACGCUGGCUGUGUGCCUAAUACAUGCAUGUCGAGCGGAGUUCUUCGGAACUUAGCGGCGAAUGGGUGAGUAACACGUACUUAACAUGCCUUUUAGAUUGGGACAACGAUGAGAAAUUAUCGCUAAUACCGGAUACUUAUAUGGUUCGCAUGAACURUAUAUAAAAGAAGCYUUUAAAGCUUCACUAAAAGAUUGGGGUGCGGAACAUUAGCUAGUUGGUAAGGUAAUGGCUUACCAAGGCGAUGAUGUUUAGCGGGGUUGAGAGACUGAUCCGCCACACUGGGACUGAGAUACGGCCCAGACUCCUACGGGAGGCAGCAGUAGGGAAUUUUCCACAAUGGACGAAAGUCUGAUGGAGCGACACAGCGUGCAGGAUGAAGGCCUUCGGGUUGUAAACUGCUGUUAUAAGGGAAGAAAAAGCAGUAGAGGAAAUGCUAUUGCCUUGACGGUACCUUGUCAGAAAGCAACGGCUAACUAUGUGCCAGCAGCCGCGGUAAUACAUAGGUUGCAAGCGUUAUCCGGAAUUAUUGGGCGUAAAGCGUCUGUAGGUUGUAUGUUAAGUCUGGCGUGAAAACUUGGGGCUCAACCCCAAAUUGCGUUGGAUACUGGCAUGCUAGAAUUGUGUAGAGGUUAGCGGAAUUCCUAGUGAAGCGGUGAAAUGCGUAGAUAUUAGGAAGAACAUCAACAUGGCGAAGGCAGCUAACUGGGCACAUAUUGACACUGAGAGACGAAAGCGUGGGGAGCAAACAGGAUUAGAUACCCUGGUAGUCCACGCUGUAAACGAUGAUGAUUAGCUGAUAGUARAACUAUCGGCACAGCUAACGCAUUAAAUCAUCCGCCUGAGUAGUAUGCUCGCAAGAGUGAAACUUAAAGGAAUUGACGGGGAUCCGCACAAGCGGUGGAGCAUGUGGUUUAAUUUGAAGAUACGCGUAGAACCUUACCCACUCUUGACAUCUUCCGCAAAGCUAUAGAGAUAUAGUGGAGGCUAACGGAAUGACAGAUGGUGCAUGGUUGUCGUCAGCUCGUGUCGUGAGAUGUUCGGUUAAGUCCUGCAACGAGCGCAACCCUUGUCCUUAGUUAAUUUUCUAGGGAGACUGCCCGAGUAAUUGGGAGGAAGGUGGGGACGACGUCAAAUCAUCAUGCCUCUUACGAGUGGGGCAACACACGUGCUACAAUGGAUGGUACAAAGAGAAGCAAAACGGCGACGUCAAGCAAAUCUCAAAAAACCAUUCUCAGUUCGGAUUGUAGUCUGCAACUCGACUACAUGAAGUCGGAAUCGCUAGUAAUCGUAGAUCAGCUACGCUACGGUGAAUACGUUCUCGGGUCUUGUACACACCGCCCGUCACACCAUGGGAGCUGGUAAUGCCCGAAGUCGGUUUUGUUAACUACGGAGACAACUGCCUAAGGCAGGGCCGGUGACUGGGGUGAAGUCGUAACAAGGUAUCCCUACGAGAACGUGGGGAUGGAUUACCUCCUUUCU
rnacentral:rRNA from 1 species